rnacentral:rRNA from 1 species
CCAAGGGUCUUGCCUCAGUAGCGGCGAGUGAAGCGGCAAGAGCUCAGAUUUGAAAUCGUGCUUUGCGGCACGAGUUGUAGAUUGCAGGUUGGAGUCUGUGUGGAAGGCGGUGUCCAAGUCCCUUGGAACAGGGCGCCCAGGAGGGUGAGAGCCCCGUGGGAUGCCGGCGGAAGCAGUGAGGCCCUUCUGACGAGUCGAGUUGUUUGGGAAUA